UUUCUAGUUAGGGACUGUCUAACAAGAUAAAGAGAGCUUGGUGAGGGCAAGGGGCUUAUCCUGUUGCCACUGCAUCUCCAGAUCCUCAGACUCUACCAGGCACAAGGCCAACCACCAUUUGAAGAAAAGAUCCGGGUGGAGAACCCUGAGUUUUGGAUUCAGGGGAUCAGACUUAUAUGUCUGUAGGAGUGAGAAGAUAGAAACUUACUCAAACAUUUUAUGUGCCAUUGGAAGACUUCAUCUCCAAGGGAACAAAUUUGGUUUGCAAUCAGUGAAAUGAGAGGUGGUGGUAUUACAAGUUGAAGAAAACUAUUCCACGAUACCCUCUUCCUGCCAUGUGUAGAAGUCCUUGACUUUUGCUUGCUACUGCUGGGUAAACUAUUCCAGGAGUAAACUUGAAUUUAGUCAAUUAUUCCUUAAUUUGUUUGGACUAUAAUCGG